UACGUAGGGCGCAAGCGUUGUCCGGAAUUAUUGGGCGUAAAGAGCUCGUAGGCGGUUUGUCGCGUCUGCUGUGAAAACCUAGGCUCAACCUUGGGCUUGCAGUGGGUACGGGCAGAUCUAGAGUGCGGUAGGGGUGACUGGAAUUCCUGGUGUAGCGGUGGAAUGCGCAGAUAUCAGGAGGAACACCGAUGGCGAAGGCAG
rnacentral:rRNA from 1 species